rnacentral:rRNA from 1 species
UACGUAGGGUCCGAGCGUUGUCCGGAAUUACUGGGCGUAAAGAGCUCGUAGGUGGUUUGUCGCGUUGUUCGUGAAAACUCACAGCUCAACUGUGGGCGUGCGGGCGAUACGGGCAGACUUGAGUACUGCAGGGGGAGACUGGAAUUCCUGGUGUAGCGGUGAAAUGCGUAGAUAUCAGGAGGAACACCGGUGGCGAAGGCGGCUACCCUGGACAGAAACUGAC